rnacentral:lncRNA from 1 species
GUUUGCCCCCCUGUGUGUAUGAAACCAUGCAGAUCGUGGGCUACAUUUAACUCCUUUUAAGAGUAUGGGCUAUAUUUAACGGUGGCCCAUAUAUGUAUCUCAUUCUUCAGGCCCAUAUGCAUGUACUUGAGCUCCUGAGGACGACGUGUCUAUCUAUUGUUGUGGUCUCCUCUAAAAAAAAAUCUAUUGUUGUGGUCCAAAAGUCGAAAUUACUUGCAGUGCUAGUGCUACCUGUGCAAAUGUAUAGUACUCCGUACUUUUUUUAUUUUUGCGAAUACUAUGCUGCAAAUGUAUACGCGGGCGUACUUCUUGCAGAAAAGAAAUGUGAUUACCAUGCAGAUUGAUCUAUGUCGUAUUUUACUUAACGUACUUGAAUUUUGGACACAGAAAUAAUAAUGGACAAACGAAAGAAAAAAAAAAUCCGUGCAUUGACAGCUGGCCGGCAGGCUAGUGGCGGG